GGCCCUGUGGCUCAGUUGGUAGAGCAUGGUGUUUGCAACGCCAGCAUGGUGUGUGCAAUGCCAGGGUUGUGGGUUUGAUUCCCACGGGGGGCCA
rnacentral:tRNA from 1 species